rnacentral:lncRNA from 1 species
UCACGCGCACCGCCGUUUGCCGGGCUCGUUCUCCAGCGCGCGCCUGGCACGCGCAACUGAGCCUUGCCUUCGCGAUCGAGCAACGCUGGAUGCCUUUGCAAAGGCAACGGACAAGUCGAAGAGAGAAGACGCGCAGAUCUUGUCGGGGGCCUGUUGCGCUCCGAGGCGGCCAGUGCUUUCCAGAGGGUUACCCCAGCACGAGCACCCGCACGGGGGAUACUUCCCAACGUCCACGUGACCCAACAGACAUGCAGGACGGCGCUAGCCAGCGCUUUGCCGGCGAGCCUCUCUUCAAGCGACGCGGCCACUGCAAGUUCACCGGAACGCUGUCGAGCCGGUUAUGUCCUUCUCACAGCUGCAACUAGCUUAACAAUGUGUUCUCCUGCAAAAGUCAUCCAGAAACGCAGCUUGCGUUGGAGCCCGAAGUAGCUGUAUGACCAGGCGUAUGCGACAAUGCGCAGCUGGACGCCGGCAUCGUUUGCGCCGGCGCGGCAAAUCGGGACUAGCGUCGGUGAUGUAUGGUGCAGAAAAUAAAGCAGGUAAGAUGUUGA